rnacentral:rRNA from 1 species
AUUGAACGCUGGCGGCAGGCCUAACACAUGCAAGUCGAACGGUAACAGGAAGCAGCUUGCUGCUUCGCUGACGAGUGGCGGACGGGUGAGUCAUGUCUGGGAAACUGCCUGAUGGAGGGGGAUAACUACUGGAAACGGUAGCUAAUACCGCAUAACGUCGCAAGACCAAAGAGGGGGACCUUAGGGCCUCUUGCCAUCGGAUGUGCCCAGAUGGGAUUAGCUAGUAGGUGGGGUAACGGCUCACCUAGGCGACGAUCCCUAGUUGGUCUGAGAGGAGGACCAGCCACACUGGAACUGAGACACGGUCCAGACUCCUACGGGAGGCAGCAGUGGGGAAUAUUGCACAAUGGGCGCAAGCCUGAUGCAGCCAUGCCGCGUGUAUGAAGAAGGCCUUCGGGUUGUAAAGUACUUUCAGCGGGGAGGAAGGGAGUAAAGUUAAUACCUUUGCUCAUUGACGUUACCCGCAGAAGAAGCACCGGCUAACUCCGUG